rnacentral:rRNA from 1 species
CCUACGGGUGGCAGCAGUCGGGAAUAUUGCGCAAUGGAGGAAACUCUGACGCAGUGACGCUGCGUAUAGGAAGAAGGUUUUCGGAUUGUAAACUAUUGUCGUUAGGGAAGAUAAAAGACUGUACCUAAGGAGGAAGCCCCGGCUAACUAUGUGCCAGCAGCCGCGGUAAUACAUAGGGGGCAAGCGUUAUCCGGAAUUAUUGGGUGUAAAGGGUGCGUAGACGGAAGAACAAGUUGGUUGUGAAAUCCCUCGGCUCAACUGAGGAACUGCAACCAAAACUAUUCUCCUUGAGUGUCGGAGAGGAAAGUGGAAUUCCUAGUGUAGCGGUGAAAGGCGUAGAUAUAUGGAGGAACACCAGUGGCGAAGGCGACGAUCUGGCCUGCAACUGACGCUCAGUCCCGAAAGCGUGGGGAGCAAAUAGGAUUAGAUACCCCGGUAGUC